AGGAAUGUGGCUCAGUGGCAGAGUACUUGCUUAGCAUAUGUGAGGCCCUGGGUUCAAUCCCCAGCAUUGCAA
rnacentral:tRNA from 1 species